UACAGAGGUCUCAAGCGUUGUUCGGAAUCACUGGGCGUAAAGGGUGCGUAGGCGGGUCUUUAAGUCAGGGGUGAAAUCCUGGAGCUCAACUCCAGAACUGCCUUUGAUACUGAAGAUCUUGAGUUCGGGAGAGGUGAGUGGAACUGCGAGUGUAGAGGUGAAAUUCGUAGAUAUUCGCAAGAACACCAGUGGCGAAGGCGGCUCACUGGCCCGAUACUGACGCUGAGGCACGAAAGCGUGGGGAGCGAACGGG
rnacentral:rRNA from 1 species